AACGAACGCUGGCGGCAUGCCUAACACAUGCAAGUCGAACGGGACCUUCGGGUCUAGUGGCGCACGGGUGCGUCACGCGUGGGAACCUGCCCUUAGGUUCGGAAUAACUCCCCGAAAGGGGUGCUAAUACCGGAUAAUGUCUUCGGACCAAAGAUUUAUCGCCUUUGGAUGGGCCCGCGUUGGAUUAGCUAGUUGGUAGGGUAAAAGCCUACCAAGGCGACGAUCCAUAGCUGGUCUGAGAGGAUGAUCAGCCACACUGGGACUGAGACACGGCCCAGACUCCUACGGGAGGCAGCAGUGGGGAAUAUUGGACAAUGGGCGAAAGCCUGAUCCAGCAAUGCCGCGUGAGUGAUGAAGGCCUUAGGGUUGUAAAGCUCUUUUACCCGGGAUGAUAAUGACAGUACCGGGAGAAUAAGCUCCGGCUAACUCCGUG
rnacentral:rRNA from 1 species